rnacentral:rRNA from 1 species
UGGGGAAUAUUGCGCAAUGGACGAAAGUCUGACGCAGCGACGCCGCGUGUGGGAUGAAGCUCUUCGGGGUGUAAACCACUGUUGCCCGGGACGAAUUUCUGGAUUCUUCCAGAUUGACGGUACCGGGUGAGGAAGCACCGGCUAACUCUGUGCCAGCAGCCGCGGUAAUACAGAGGGUGCGAGCGUUGUCCGGAAUCACUGGGCGUAAAGGGCGCGUAGGUGGCUUGUUAAGCGUGUGGUGAAAGCCCGGGGCUCAACCCCGGGUCUGCCGUGCGUACUGGCGAGCUUGAGCAUAGUAGAGGCAGGUGGAAUUCCGGGUGUAGCGGUGGAAUGCGUAGAUAUCCGGAAGAACACCGGUGGCGAAGGCGGCCUGCUGGGCUAUUGCUGACACUGAGGCGCGACAGCGUGGGGAGCAAACAGGAUUAGAUACCCCCGUAGUCC